UACAGAGGGUGCGAGCGUUGUUCGGAAUUAUUGGGCGUAAAGGGCGCGUAGGCGGUGCGGUAAGUCACCUGUGAAAUCUCCUGGCUUAACUGGGAGCCUGCAGGCGAAACUACCGUGCUGGAGUGUGGGAGAGGUGCGUGGAAUUCCCGGUGUAGCGGUGAAAUGCGCAGAUAUCGGGAGGAACACCAAUGGCGAAGGCAGCUCGCUGGGACGUGACUGACGCUGAGACGCGAAAGCGUGGGGAGCAAACAGG
rnacentral:rRNA from 1 species